UACGUAGGGUGCAGGCGUUAAUCGGAAUUACUGGGCGUAAAGCGUGCGCAGGCGGUUUGCUAAGACAGGUGUGAAAUCCCCGGGCUUAACCUGGGAACUGCGCUUGUAACUGGCAAGCUGGAGUGUGGCAGAGGGGGGGUGGAAUUCCACGUGUAGCAGUGAAAUGCGUAGAGAUGUGGAGGAGCACCGAUGGCGAAGGCAGCCCCCUGGGCUAACACUGACGCUCAUGCACGAAAGCGUGGGGAGCAAACAGG
rnacentral:rRNA from 1 species